rnacentral:lncRNA from 1 species
AGGUAACCUCAAAUCAUGGGGAUAAUUUGUUUCUAGGAGACUCAUAAUAUCAUCUAUACCCAAACAAGAAGAUGUUGUAUGAUAAUUGUUAUCAAAGGUAACGGGAUUAAAAUUUGGUACGCUAUACGCGCGUUUUGUCUACAUAAGACUCAUCAGUGACGCUCAUAUCAAAAUAGUUAUAAAGCAAAAAGAGCACACAAAGUUGAAGAGCAUUGAGGAUUCCAAAUUCCCAAAUGUUGUGCCAAAUACGACUAGGGUUAUAAUAUAUCCAAUGAUAUAAAUCUCCACCAGAGACAGACUACCCAAGAUAAACAUAAAGGUAUGUCACCGUAAGGCAAUCAACAAAUUUAGAUGAAUGAGGAAAAUUUGUAACUCAUAGCAGGCUAUCAAAGGUUCUAGCGUUACAAAAUGUAAGAUCAUUUGAACGAUAAAACCAACAGUCUGACGUAUUUCAAUAACAUAACAUUACGAAAAAUUUGUAAGGGUUCAGCGGAGGAACAAAUUAGGAACUUUAACCAUAAAGUGAAUGUUAUGUUAAAUGGCAAAAAAAACUAUGUUCAUUUAUUAAAAAAAUUAGGAAAAAAGGAAUUUCUUUGGCAAAUUUUACUUCUGUAUACAAUCUUCUGAUCAUAAACAAGCUUUUGUCCACGUUUUGUAGAAAUCCAGCCAAC